ensembl:Mt_tRNA
GAGGUUUUAACUUAAUUAAAGUAUCUGGGUUGCAUUCAGAAUAUAUAGGAUAAAGUCCUAUAAAUCUUA